rnacentral:lncRNA from 1 species
GAUUCCAGCUCCCAUGUCUCUAGCCAGAUUAUGCCAUUUUUGCUCAUGUCUUUUAAUCCUUUAGGCUUAUGACUGGUAUUGUUCUGAGAGAUAUAUGUCCACUCCAGUGUUUUCUCUUGUAGCACAUAGCAGUUUUUGUGCAUUUGGGCCCUCUGUACAAAAUGUCUCAAGCUGUUAUUGAAGUAGGGACAAAUGAAGCUGAAGCAAUGUCCAGCACUGAAACCAUGCACUGGCCUGGCCAGCCUCGGGCCAAGAGCACCACAAACACAGGAGAUACAGUGAGGCUUCCAAAGCCUCACCCUCAGGUAAGAUGAGGGUCCCACCUAGUCAUUGAGUGGUCAGAAGCCUGGAGAUGUCCCCAUGUCAUGAGUCAAUUUUACCUCUAAUGCACUGAGAGCUUGUCCGGCCACC